rnacentral:rRNA from 1 species
GACGAACGCUGGCGGCGUGCUUAACACAUGUAAGUCGAACGGAAAGGCCCUGCUUUUGUGGGGUGCUCGAGUGGCGAACGGGUGAGUAACACGUGAGUAACCUGCCCUUGACUUUGGGAUAACUUCAGGAAACUGGGGCUAAUACCGGAUAGGAGCUCCUGCUGCAUGGUGGGGGUUGGAAAGUUUCGGCGGUUGGGGAUGGACUCGCGGCUUAUCAGCUUGUUGGUGGGGUAGUGGCUUACCAAGGCUUUGACGGGUAGCCGGCCUGAGAGGGUGACCGGCCACAUUGGGACUGAGAUACGGCCCAGACUCCUACGGGAGGCAGCAGUGGGGAAUAUUGCACAAUGGGCGGACGCCUGAUGCAGCAACGCCGCGUGCGGGAUGACGGCCUUCGGGUUGUAAACCGCUUUCGCCUGUGACGAAGCGUGAGUGACGGUAAUGGGUAAAGAAGCACCGGCUAACUACGUG